rnacentral:lncRNA from 1 species
CGAUAAAGAUAACUAGUGAGUUAUGAUUCUAUUUCGGGAUUAUAUGAAGUUGAAUUGGGUAAAUUGAUACUGUUUGGAAUGAUUAUUCAACUGAAGAUAAUCUAGUAAACAACUAGAUUUGGAUAUGAUAACAUACUUGUAUAGUCAAGUAGAGAUUUAUAUUGGACUACAGAAUAUGUGCAAUGAGUCUUUGCACAGAACAUUAGUAAACCACUUUCCUUAUGUGUAAGGAGUAG